CCUACGGGAGGCAGCAGUGGGGAAUUUUGGACAAUGGGGGCAACCCUGAUCCAGCCAUGCCGCGUGAGUGAAGAAGGCCUUCGGGUUGUAAAGCUCUUUCGGCCGGGAAGAAAUCGCAUGGGUUAAUACCCUGUGUGGAUGACGGUACCGGCAUAAGAAGCACCGGCUAACUACGUGCCAGCAGCCGCGGUAAUACGUAGGGUGCGAGCGUUAAUCGGAAUUACUGGGCGUAAAGCGUGCGCAGGCGGUUUGGUAAGACAGGCGUGAAAUCCCCGGGCUCAACCUGGGAACUGCGCUUGUGACUGCCUCACUAGAGUACGGCAGAGGGGGGUGGAAUUCCACGUGUAGCAGUGAAAUGCGUAGAGAUGUGGAGGAACACCGAUGGCGAAGGCAGCCCCCUGGGCCGAUACUGACGCUCAUGCACGAAAGCGUGGGUAGCAAACAGGAUUAGAUACCCUGGUAGUCCACGCCCUAAACGAUGUCAACUAGGUGUUGGGUGGGUAAAACCAUUUAGUACCGGAGCUAACGCGUGAAGUUGACCGCCUGGGGAGUACGGCCGCAAGGUUAAAACUCAAAUGAAUUGACGG
rnacentral:rRNA from 1 species